AACCUGGUUUAUAUGGUUCAAUCGUAGCUCUUUCUCGGCAGAAUAAGGCAACAGGGUAUGAUCCAGCAGCAGCACUCCGGAUAAGGGAGCAUAUGAGAGAUGAUGAUGAUGCAGAUGAAACAAUGUAUGAGAUGGCUGUACAUAGAGAUCGAAAUGUCUCACGAGGUGGUGUAAAAUUGGGAAAGAAGCUUGAAUUUUUAAGAGGUGAUGAAUUUGGAACUGAUAGUUUCGAGGGUUUCCCUCUGCCUCUAAAGAAUGAUUUACAUGCCUAUGGAAAGAACAGGAAUGUGAAGCAGAUGUCAGAUAUUAAGGGCUUGGCAACUAAGUCAUCCAGUGCUAGAACUUCUAACAAUUAUGGCAAAAGGAUCAAGUACCAUGAGAGUGUUCAGCAAUCUGAAGUUGAAGAUCAGAUGAAGUCUGCAAAAGGUCGAGCUUCAUAUCUGUCACUAAAAGAACAUCGAGUUGACUUGGCGGAUCGUGCUGAGCCUUUUUGGCAUAACAGAACCCAAGUAGAGGCCUUUUCUGUGGACCCAUCCUUUAAAUAUGAUGAUUGGAAUGCUAGAAGCAAGAAAUGGAAGACGGGGAGGGAAUCUCCUGAUGUCAAAAUUAAAUCUUAUAGAACAGCGUCUCCCCAGAUGAGUGAUAGAUUGCUUCAUUCAGAGUAUAGAACAAAACCAUCAGAGGAGAAGAUCAGAGGGAGUUCUUCACAGAAUGGAGGAUCAAAUGUGGCAGCACUGAAGGGUGUUAGAAUGUUUGUAAAAAGUGAGGAGACAGAAUCUGACUCAUCGGAGCAAGUUGAUGAAGAAGCAGAUAACGACCCUUUGAUGAGGAGCAAGCUGGCUUACCCCACUGGUGUCCUGGAAGGCAGUCGGACCUCUUUUGUGAAAUCUGGUCUAGAUCCUAAAAAGGUCAAAUUUAUUAAUAAAAAUAAGAAGGAGAGCACUCGGGCUCUGGAUGGAAUCAUACGCUCCACAAAGAAGAUGGGUGACCUUGGUGAACAUUUGAGAAUAUCAGAAGUAGAAAGCUACUCUUCAAAAGUAAAGCAGAAGGGUAAGAUGCGUGAUACCAGUCACUUGCAUAGCUCUGAAGCUAGAUUGGAAGACAGCUAUUUCUCUGGCUCUGGACAAUUAAAUGAUGAUGAUGAUAGGAAACAAACACACAAAUUGGGGAAGAGUGGCCAUAUCCGAGCGGAAACUGGUGAAAGGUUACACAUGUCCUCAUCAAAGGCCUAUUCUGCAGAGAGAAGGCAGAAAUUGGAAGUUGACUAUGAAUACCCUGC
rnacentral:lncRNA from 1 species